GAUGAACGCUGGCGGUCUGCUUAACACAUGCAAGUCGAACGGAAUCCUUCGGGAUUUAGUGGCGGACGGGUGAGUAACACGUGAGAAUCUGCACUCAGGAUGGGGACAACAGCGGGAAACUGCUGCUAAUACCCAAUGUGCCGAAAGGUAAAAGAUUUAUCGCCUGAGAAUGAGCUCGCGGCCGAGUAGUUAGUUGGUGGGGUAAUGGCCUACCAAGACGGCGAUCGGUAGCUGGUCUGAGAGGAUGAGCAGCCACACUGGGACUCAGACACGGCCCAGACUCCUACGGGAGGCAGCAGUGGGGAAUUUUCCGCAAUGGGCGCAAGCCUGACGGAGCAAGACCGCGUGGGGGAGGAAGGCUCUUGGGUUGUAAACACCUUUUCUCAAGGAAGAACAAAAUGACGGUACUUGAGGAAUCAGCCUCGGCUAACUCCGUGCCAGCCGCCGCGGUAACAC
rnacentral:rRNA from 1 species